GACGAACGCUGGCGGCGUGCUUAACACAUGCAAGUCGAACGAAGUGGCGAACGGGUGAGUAACGCGUAAUCAACCUGCCCUUCAGAGGGGGACACCAGUUGGAAACGACUGCUAAUACCCCAUACUGAUGUAGGGGUUUGCGUCGGAUUGGCUAGUUGGAGGGGUAACGGCUCACCAAGGCGAUGAUCAGUAGCCGGUCUGAGAGGAUGAACGGCCACAUUGGGACUGAGACACGGCCCAGACUCCUACGGGAGGCAGCAGUGGGGAAACAUCCGAAAUGGACGAAAGUCUGAAGGAGCAGCGCCGCGGGAGUGAUGACGGCCUUCGGGUUGUAAAGCUCUGUUAAUCGGGACGCGGUACCGGAAUAGAAAGCCACGGCUAACUACGUGCCAGCAGCCGCGGUAAUUC
rnacentral:rRNA from 1 species